rnacentral:rRNA from 1 species
UACGGAGGGUGCAAGCGUUAUCCGGAUUCACUGGGUUUAAAGGGUGCGUAGGUGGGCUGGUAAGUCAGUGGUGAAAUCUCCAGGCUUAACUUGGAAACUGCCAUUGAUACUAUUAGUCUUGAAUACCGUGGAGGUCAGCGGAAUAUGUCAUGUAGCGGUGAAAUGCUUAGAUAUGACAUAGAACACCAAUUGCGAAGGCAGCUGGCUACACGAAUAUUGACACUGAUGCACGAAAGCGUGGGGAUCAAACAGG